UUCUCUUAAAAGAGAAAUACUUGUCCAUAUUGUAUAGCUGCCCACACAGUACCAAGCAAAAAGGUUCAACAGGCUUAACAGAAGCCCUAAAUUAUCAAAUCAAACUAACAUUUCUCAUAUCUCAUAACAAAAAUGGAAAGGAAAACAAUACCUAUUUAUCUAGGACUCCUCAUGCUGCUCCAUGGAAACUUGGCCUUCUCCACCGUG
rnacentral:misc_RNA from 1 species